AUGGCAGCGGCAGCAGAGUCGGACAACGGGAGCGAGGUGGGCCCGACCGGGGACUCGGGGGCGUUCGCUUCGCCGGUGAAGGCGAGGGAGAGGGCGCCGGAGUCGGAGGCCGGCGCCUCGGCGGCGACGGCGUCCGAGUCCUCGGAGACGAGGGUCGACGACGGCAACAUCCAGGAGGCCGAGUCCUCGCUCCGCGAGGGCCUCUCCCUCAACUACGAGGAAGCAAGAGCUCUCCUCGGGAGACUAGAAUAUCAGAGAGGAAAUGUAGAGGCUGCACUUCGAGUAUUUGAUGGAAUAGACCUUCAAGCUGCUAUUCAGCGUUUCCAACCGUCGCUUUCAGAAAAACCAUCUUCCAAGCGGAAUAACAAACUACGGUCAGAUUCAUCGAAUUCAGGAUCACAGCAUGCUGCUAGCCUUGUUCUUGAAGCCAUUUACUUGAAGGCAAUGUCUCUUCAAAAGUUGGGGAAAGCAAUAGAGGCCGCUCAACAGUGUAAAAGCGUCCUUGAUGCUGUUGAAAGUAUCUUCCAACGUGGCAUACCUGAUGUCAUGGUUGAACAAAAGCUGCAGGAAACUGUCAGUAAAUCAGUUGAGCUACUCCCAGAACUUUGGAAGCAAGCUGGGGCUUAUCAAGAAGCACUUGCUUCUUACCGGCGUGCUCUUCUUAGUCAAUGGAAUCUCGACGAUGAAUGCUGCACGAGAAUUCAGAAGAGGUUUUCUGUUUUUCUGUUGUAUGGUGGUGUUGAGGCAAGUCCGCCGAGCUUGGCUUCACAAACCGAAGGUUCAUUUGUCCCUAAGAAUAAUUUGGAAGAGGCAAUCCUGCUGCUCAUGAUACUUUUGAAGAAGUGGUACCUUGGAAAGACUCACUGGGACCCCUCAGUGAUGGAGCAUCUAACCUUUGCAUUGUCACUCUGUGGCCAGACAUCUGUGCUUGCCAAGCAUUUCGAAGAAGUUUUGCCUGGAAUAUACCCUCGAACUGAGAGAUGGUAUAGUCUAGCCCUUUGUUAUUCUGCAGCUUCGGAUGAUGAAGCGGCAUUAAAUUUGCUAAAGAAGUCUUUGAAUAAGAAUGAGAGUCCCAAUGACAUAAAUGCCCUGCUUUUAGCUGCUAAGAUAUGUAGUUCGGACUAUUAUCUUGCUUCCGAGGGUGUAGAGUAUGCAAAGAGAGCAAUCGGUGACGACGAAUUAUUAGAUGGGCAUUUAAGGAGUGUUGGGCUCCAUCUCUUGGGGAGUUGUCUGGCUAAUGAGUCUAAAAUUGCUUCGUCCGAUCAUCAAAGAUCUCUCUUGCAGGCUGAGGCUUUGAAAUCACUUGGUGAAGCAUUUUCCCUUGACCGCCACAACCCAGAUUUAAUAUUUGACAUGGGGGUUGAGUAUGCUGAGCAACGAAACAUGCAGGCUGCACUGAAAUGUGCAAAGCAGUUCAUUGACACAACUGGCGGAUCUGUUUCUAAAGGCUGGAGAUUGCUAUCUUUGGUUCUCUCUGCGCAGCAGAGGUAUUCAGAAGCAGAGGUGGUGACUGAUGCUGCAUUAGAAGAAACUACAAAAUGGGAACAAGGGCCAUUACUUAGAAUAAGGGCUAAACUGAAAGCAGCUCAAUCAUUGCCCAUGGAAGCAGUUGAAGCAUACCGUGCCCUUCUUGCUCUUGUUCAGGCACAACGGAAGGCUUAUGGAUCUUUAAAAAAUGGCACAGAGGAAAGGGAUAAUAAAGUGAGUGAGUUUGAAGUUUGGCAAGGUCUUGCCAACUUGUAUGCUAGUCUUUCGUACUGCAGAGAUGCCGAAAUAUGUUUGCAGAAGGCUAAAGCUCUGAAAACUUAUUCUGCCACAACACUUCAUGCAGAAGGUGACAUGCAUGGGGUCCGUGAGCAAACGCAGCAUGCGCUGGCUGCAUACUUGAAUGCACUCUCAACAGAGGUAGAUCAUGUACCAUCCAAGGUGUCCAUCGGUGCUCUCCUGUCGAAACAAGGGCCCAAGUAUCUCCCGGUGGCGAGGAGCUUCCUGUCGGACGCCCUAAGGCUCGAGCCUACGAACAGGAUGGCCUGGUUCUACCUAGGACAGGUCCACAAGCAUGACGGGAGGCUAGCUGAGGCCGCCGAUUGCUUUCAGGCGGCCUCGAUGCUCGAGGAAUCAGACCCAGUAGAAAGUCUCCGACCGCUCUGA
rnacentral:rRNA from 1 species